GCCGCCAUAGCUCAGCUGGUAGAGCAACUGAUUUGUAAUCAGUAGGUCCCGAGUUCGAUCCUUGGUGGCGGCACCA
rnacentral:tRNA from 1 species